rnacentral:rRNA from 1 species
UACGUAGGGUCCGAGCGUUGUCCGGAAUUAUUGGGCGUAAAGGGCUCGUAGGCGGUUCGUCACGUCGGGAGUGAAAACUCGGGGCUUAACCCCGAGCCUGCUUCCGAUACGGGCAGACUAGAGGUAGGCAGGGGAGAGCGGAACUCCUGGUGUAGCGGUGGAAUGCGCAGAUAUCAGGAAGAACACCGGUGGCGAAGGCGGUCUGCUGGGCAGUUGCUGACACUGAUGCGCGACAGCGUGGGGAGCGAACAGG